rnacentral:rRNA from 1 species
GAUGAACGCUGGCGGCGUGCCUAAUACAUGCGAGUCGAGCGAACGGACGAGAAGCUUGCUUCUCUGAUGUUAGCGGCGGACGGGUGAGUAACACGUGGAUAACCUACCUAUAAGACUGGGAUAACUUCGGGAAACCGUAGCUAAUACCGGAUAAUAUUUUGAACCGCAUGGUUCAAAAGUGAAAGACGGUCUUGCUGUCACUUAUAGAUGGAUCCGCGCUGCAUUAGCUAGUUGGUAAGGUAACGGCUUACCAAGGCAACGAUGCAUAGCCGACCUGAGAGGGUGAUCGGCCACACUGGAACUGAGGCACGGUCCAGACUCCUACGGGAGGCAGCAGUAGGGAAUCUUCCGCGAUGGGCGAAAGCCUGACGGAGCAGCGCCGCGUGAGUGAUGAAGGUCUUCGGAUCGUAAAACUCUGUUAUUAGGGAAGAACAUAUGUGUAAGUACCUGUGCACAUCUUGACGGUACCUAAUCAGAAAGCCACGGCUAACUACGUG